GUGUGGUUUGGCUCGUGUUGCUCAGACUUUAGUUUUGUGUGGUUUGGCUCGUGUUGCUCAGUCUUUAGUUUUGUGUGGUUGGGCUCGUGUUGCUCAGUCUUUAGUUUUGUUUGGUUGUGCUCGUGUUGCUCAGUCUUUAGUUUUGUGUGGUUUGGUUCGUGUUGCUCAGUCUUUAGUUUUGUGUGGUUUGGUUCGUGUUGCUC
rnacentral:lncRNA from 1 species